rnacentral:snRNA from 1 species
AAGAUUGCAGCCUUCAGUAUGGAUUAUGACUCGUGACUUUCCCAGGGCGAGGCUUAUACAUUGCACUGCGGAUGUGCUGGCCCCUGUGAUUUCCCCAAAUGUGGGAAACUCAACUGCAUAAUUUGUGGUAGUGGGGAAAA